UACAGAGGGUGCAAGCGUUGUUCGGAAUUACUGGGCGUAAAGCGCGUGUAGGCGGCGGCGUAAGUCGGAUGUGAAAUCCCUUGGCUUAACCAAGGAAGUGCAUCCGAUACUGCGUCGCUUGAGUGCCGGAGGGGAUGGCGGAAUUCCCGGUGUAGAGGUGAAAUGCGUAGAGAUCAUGAGGAAGACCAGUGGCGAAGGCGGGUCUCUGGACAGUUCCUGACACUGAGACACGAAGGCCAGGGGAGCAAACGGG
rnacentral:rRNA from 1 species